GGUCAAUUGAGGCGGGCUGGACCUCUCGGGGUUACAGCCUUGCUGAAUUAUUCACCCUUGUCUUUUGCGUACUUCUUGUUUCCUUGGUGGGUUCGCCCACCACUAGGACAAACAUAAACCUUUUGUAAUUGCAAUCAGCGUCAGUAACAAAUUAAUAAUUACAACUUUCAACAACGGAUCUCUUGGUUCUGGCAUCGAUGAAGAACGCAGCGAAAUGCGAUAAGUAGUGUGAAUUGCAGAAUUCAGUGAAUCAUCGAAUCUUUGAACGCACAUUGCGCCCUUUGGUAUUCCAAAGGGCAUGCCUGUUCGAGCGUCAUUUGUACCCUCAAGCUUUGCUUGGUGUUGGGCGUCUUGUCUCUAGCUUUGCUGGAGACUCGCCUUAAAGUAAUUGGCAGCCGGCCUACUGGUUUCGGAGCGCAGCACAAGUCGCACUCUCUAUCAGCAAAGGUCUAGCAUCCAUUAAGCCUUUUUUUCAACUUUUGACCUCGGAUCAGGUAGGGAUACCCGCUGAACUUAAGCAUAUCAAUAAGCGGAGGAA
rnacentral:rRNA from 1 species